UAGUUGAUGUAUUUCUUCUUCUUUGUUCUGUGGCAGUGUAUUUAGCUGGGUAAGGAAGCUUUUAGUCUUUUACCCACUAUAUACACUACCUAUAGAAAGAAGAAGCCUGUCUUCGAACAAUUC
rnacentral:precursor_RNA from 16 species